AGAUGGCGACCGGCGCACGGGUGAGUAACACGUAUCCAACCUGCCGAUAACUCGGGGAUAGCCUUUCGAAAGAAAGAUUAAUACCCGAUGGCAUAAUUAGACCGCAUGGUCUUAUUAUUAAAGAAUUUCGGUUAUCGAUGGGGAUGCGUCCCAUUAGGCAGUUGGUGAGGUAACGGCUCACCAAACCUUCGAUGGAUAGGGGUUCUGAGAGGAAGGUCCCCCACAUUGGAACUGAGACACGGUCCAA
rnacentral:rRNA from 1 species